rnacentral:rRNA from 1 species
UACGAAGGGGGCUAGCGUUGCUCGGAAUUACUGGGCGUAAAGCGCACGUAGGCGGUCUUUUAAGUCGGGGGUGAAAUCCUGGAGCUCAACUCCAGAACUGCCUUCGAUACUGGAAGACUCGAGUCCGGGAGAGGUGAGUGGAACUGGCGAGUGUAGAGGUGAAAUUCGUAGAUAUUCGCAAGAACACCAGUGGCGAAGGCGGCUCACUGGCCCGGUACUGACGCUGAGGCGCGAAGGCUAGGGGAGCGAACGGG